CAGAGAGGACAGACAAAUGGAUUAAGACGAUUACAUCGACCCCAGUGCGUAACUGGUACUUAAUUUAUCGACCCCGAAAGGAUGAAAGGCAAAGUCGACCUCGGCGGAAUUUGAACUAGUUAUUGAGUUACUACUGACUUUUCUUCUCCGCAUAAAAGUUCACUCAACCUUUACUGUUUUCAGGCUGAUGACGUAGCAGACAUGGAAGACCAGUGACAAGACCCAUUGACGUCAAGGAUCAAGUACAGAUCAAAGACAGCAGUAUUUGAUUUCAACUUCACUUCAUACAAUGACUCUGGUGUUUACAGGAUAUUUAUUCUCAGGUUCACUCAAAGAUAAAUUUCUCGUUUGUUCUGCACUUAAAGCAAUACCAAGGCUUUAUAUAGUUUGGAAAAGAUUUCAUCUUACAUCGAAUCAGAAAAUCUUUUGUAAGACAAUGUCUGUGGAUGUUGUCAGUGGUGCAGCUAAUUUUUUAAACUCUAGUCUCUUGUGCGAUAGAAGUCGAAUCUCUUUCUUUUUUUUUUUUCUGUUAAUGGUGUGGCCUUGGAAGAACUUUCUGGAAAACUUUAUUUGAACUGUGCUCAAUCUCCUGUGAUGUGUUGGUGGCUACUGACAUUUGAAGAACCAGCACAAACCCUGACGUCAUUGAACGACCCCGUGGAGUUUAAUCUUUUUCACGUUAUGCUGAGUUGGUAAGAAAGAAUUUUUGUCUCACUGAAUGAGAAAGAAUGGAUCACGUGCCUUCCUAUCUGGUUGAUGUUUUUGAACAACUGAAAAAAAUUGAAGCUUCAAGUGCAAGACAUGAAUACAAACACCAUUAAAUUCUUUGAAAGCUUUCAUGAGCAAAAUGGAAAAUGUAAUGUUUCAGAAACUGUUACCAAUUCUUGUUGCUAGUGGUGAAGAUUAUGCCCUCCUAUAUUUGUACAGAUAACAUUUUGCAGUCUUUGACGACACUAACAAAUGAAUUCAGUGAUUAGUUGAAUUUAAUUAAAUGUAAAACCCAUUUAAGUUCACUUUUUAAAAGUUCUUGAUGAUUGCUGAUAUAAAUGUCUAGAGCUGAAGAGUGAUUCAGAAACAAUAAUUCAUGUUCAUUAAGAAAAUGAUCACAAAAUUCUUGCUCUGUGAGCGCUGUCCAAAAUUGACAGAAAUAGCUAUUUAUGCCAUAAUUCCAUUUGUACCAUCAUUGAGUUAAGCUUUUCAACUUUGUUGUAAAUGAAAAUGAAGCAAUGAAGAAGACUAGAAGUUAAGAAUUUCCUAUAAUGUCCCUUUCUAGCACUCAUCUAUGUAUCCAAGAAUUUGGUAAAUAAAAAAAAACAAUCACAAGAAAAACAAAAAAAAAAUCAUUUUUCUCAUUGACCGUAAUCUUCAUCAGAAUAAAAUAAAUUACAAUAGCCUGGCAUUGUAUCAAAUAUUUUGUUUAUAGAAGUGUGCUACAGUAACUUCAGUCUUUAAAGUAAUUAGUUAUGAACAUAUGUAUAACAAAAAAACUAUUUUUAUUUGAGUUUUAAAAUCAACAUUUUU